rnacentral:rRNA from 1 species
UGCUCCUCGGGUGACGAGUGGCGGACGGGUGAGUAAUGUCUGGGAAACUGCCCUAUGGAGGGGGAUAACUACUGGAAACGGUAGCUAAUACCGCAUAACGUCGCAAGACCAAAGUGGGGGACCUCCGGGCCUCACACCAUCGGAUGUGCCCAGAUGGGAUUAGCUUGUAGGCGGGGUAACGGCCCACCUAGGCGACGAUCCCUAGCUGGUCUGAGAGGAUGACCAGCCACACUGGAACUGAGACACGGUCCAGACUCCUACGGGAGGCAGCAGUGGGGAAUAUUGCACAAUGGGCGCAAGCCUGAUGCAGCCAUGCCGCGUGUAUGAAGAAGGCCUUCGGGUUGUAAAGUACUUUCAGCGGGGAGGAAGGUGCUGAGGUUAAUAACCUCAUCAAUUGACGUUACCCGCAGAAGAAGCACCGGCUAACUCCGUGCCAGCAGCCGCGGUAAUACGGAGGGUGCAAGCGUUAAUCGGAAUUACUGGGCGUAAAGCGCACGCAGGCGGUCUGUUAAGUCAGAUGUGAAAUCCCCGGGCUUAACCUGGGAACUGCAUUUGAAACUGGCAGGCUUGAGUCUCGUAGAGGGGGGUAGAAUUCCAGGU